rnacentral:rRNA from 1 species
UCGAGAAUCUUUCGCAAUGGGGGAAACCCUGACGACGCGACGCCGCGUGGAGGAUGAAGGCCUUCGGGUUGUAAACUCCUGUCAGCAGGGGAGAACAAGCUUUUGAUGAAUAAUUGAGAGCUUUGACAGUACCUGCAGAGGAAGCCACGGCUAACUCUGUGCCAGCAGCCGCGGUAAUACAGAGGUGGCAAGCGUUGUUCGGAUUUAUUGGGCGGAAAGGGUCCGUAGGCGGCCUGAAAAGUUGGAUGUGAAAUCCCACAGCUUAACUGUGGAACUGCAUUCAAAACGCUCAGGCUCGAGUGUGAUAGGGGUAAUGGGAAUUCCCGGUGUAAGGGUGAAAUCUGCAGAGAUCGGGAGGAACACCAGUCGCGAAGGCGCAUUACUGGAUCACUACUGACGCUGAGGGACGAAAGCCAGGGGAGCAAACG